rnacentral:rRNA from 1 species
UUUUGAUGGCGACCGGCGCACGGGUGAGUAACACGUAUCCAACCUGCCGAUGACUCGGGGAUAGCCUUUCGAAAGAAAGAUUAAUACCCGAUGGCAUAGUUCUUCCGCAUGGUAGAACUAUUAAAGAAUUUCGGUCAUCGAUGGGGAUGCGUUCCAUUAGCUUGUUGGCGGGGUAACGGCCCACCAAGGCAUCGAUGGAUAGGGGUUCUGAGAGGAAGGUCCCCCACAUUGGAACUGAGACACGGUCCAAACUCCUACGGAAGGCAGCAG